rnacentral:rRNA from 1 species
CCUACGGGAGGCUGCAGUGAGGAAUAUUGGUCAAUGGCCGGAAGGCUGAACCAGCCAUGCCGCGUGAAGGUCAGUGCCCUAUGGGCGUUAAACUUCUUUUGUGCGGGAGCAAUAAUGGUCACGUGUGGCCAGACGAGAGUACCGUACGAAUAAGCAACGGCUAACUCCGUGCCAGCAGCCGCGGUAAUACGGGGGAGGCAAGCGUUAUCCGGAUUUAUUGGGGUUAAAGGUGGCGUAGGCUGUGAGGUAAGUCAGCGGUGAAAUGCCCCGGCUCAACGGGGUGAAGUGCCAUUGAUACUGCCUUGCUGGAAUGCGGAUGCCGUGGGAGGAAUGUGUGGUGUAGCGGUGAAAUGCAUAGAUAUCACACAGAACACCGAUUGCGAAGGCAUCUCACGAAUCCGCGAUUGACGCUGAUGCACGAAAGCGUGGGUAUCAAACAGGAUUAGAUACCCGGGUAGUC